AGAAGUGUGCCCGAGAUUUAGGGGUUAUUUUGAUGAAAUAAAUACAGAGCAACUAGCCCUCACUUCCA
rnacentral:tRNA from 1 species